rnacentral:rRNA from 1 species
AGUGAACGCUGGCGGUAGGCCUAACACAUGCAAGUCGAACGGCAGCACAGUAAGAGCUUGCUCUUACGGGUGGCGAGUGGCGGACGGGUGAGGAAUACAUCGGAAUCUACUUUUUCGUGGGGGAUAACGUAGGGAAACUUACGCUAAUACCGCAUACGACCUACGGGUGAAAGCAGGGGAUCUUCGGACCUUGCGCGAUUGAAUGAGCCGAUGUCGGAUUAGCUAGUUGGCGGGGUAAAGGCCCACCAAGGCGACGAUCCGUAGCUGGUCUGAGAGGAUGAUCCGCCACACUGGAACUGAGACACGGUCCAGACUCCUACGCGAGGCAGCAGUCGGGAAUAUUGCGCAAUGGGCGCAAGCCUGAUCCAGCCAUACCGCGUGGGUGAAGAAGGCCUUCGGGUUGUAAAGCCCUUUUGUUGGGAAAGAAAAGCAGCAGGUUAAUACCCCGCUGUUCUGACGGUACCCAAAGAAUAAGCACCGGCUAACUUCGUG